UACGAGGGGGGCAAGCGUUGUUCGGAAUUAUUGGGCGUAAAGGGCGCGUAGGCGGUUCGGCAAGUCUCUAGUGAAAUCUCUGGGCUCAACCCAGAGCCUGCUGGGGAAACUGCCGGGCUGGAGUAUGGGAGAGGUGAGUGGAACUCCUGGUGUAGCGGUGAAAUGCGUAGAUAUCAGGAGGAACACCUGUGGCGAAGGCGGUUACCUGGGCUUGUUCUGACGCUGAGGCACAAAAGCUGGGGGAGCAAACGGG
rnacentral:rRNA from 1 species